UGGGCGAAGUAACUCGAAAAACCAGGGUUUUGGUCUUUUGAAGUCUCUCUCUCUCUCUCUCUCUCUCUCUCUCUCUCUCCGCUGCGGAGAGAUUUCAAUGGCUCGAGAGCAACAACAAAUCCCACGCCCUUGGAUUCUUGAUGCCGUUCCUUUUAUCGUCGUCCUUCUCAUCGCUGCUCACGUCUUAGCUUUGGUUUACUGGAUUUAUAGGCUUGCCACUGAGAAACAACCACAACGAAGGAAAGCACACUAGAAUACUACGAAAGAUGAAGAGAGCGACUGAGGAAAGAACGGGGGAAAGGAUUCAGAAGUCAGAAAGAUCAACUCAUGUGCGAUUUCUUCGACCUGUAGUUGAAUUCCUGCGUUUUCCUGAAUUGCAGAUUCUUUUAUUUUUCAUUUUUGGAUUUAUAGUCAUGAUAUGAUAUGUUGGAUGACUCGUGUAUCAUUGCACGUUUGUUGGUAACUAGAUCUUUUUUCCCCC